rnacentral:rRNA from 1 species
UAUGAACGCUAGCGGCAGGCUUAAUACAUGCAAGUCGUGGGGCAGCAGGACGGUAGCAAUACCGUUGCUGGCGACCGGCAAACGGGUGCGGAACACGUACACAACCUUCCUUUAAGUGGGGAAUAGCCCGGGGAAACCCGGAUUAAUACCUCGUAACAUAAUGAAGUGGCAUCACUUUAUUAUUAUAGCAGCAAUGCGCUUGAUGAUGGGUGUGCGCCUGAUUAGGUAGUUGGCGGGGUAACGGCCCACCAAGCCUUCGAUCAGUAACUGGUGUGAGAGCACGACCAGUCACACGGGCACUGAGACACGGGCCCGACUCCUACGGGAGGCAGCAGUAAGGAAUAUUGGUCAAUGGACGCAAGUCUGAACCAGCCAUGCCGCGUGGAGGAUGAAGGUCCUCUGGAUUGUAAACUUCUUUUAUCUGGGAAGAAAUCCAUAUUUUCUAAUGUGGUUGACGGUACCAGACGAAUAAGCACCGGCUAACUCCGUGCCAGCAGCCG